rnacentral:rRNA from 1 species
UAUGUAGGUGGUCUUGUAAGUUGGAUGUGAAAUCCUUUGGCUUAACCAAAGAACUGCAUUCAAAACUGCUUGACUUGAGUUUGGAAGAGGAGAGUGGAAUUCCCAGUGUAAGAGUGAAAUCUGUAGAUAUUGGGAGGAACACCAGUGGCGAAAGCGACUCUCUGGUCCAAAACUGACACUGAAAUACGAAAGCCAGAGGAGCAAACAGGAUUAGAUACCCUGGUAGUCC